rnacentral:lncRNA from 1 species
AGCUACUGUUCCAUUGGAUUUCAAGCUGUUCAGAGUUGAUUCUCACCUCCAAUCUCACGGAUCUGGAACAAGCAUCAAGGCUGGAUGCUAUCAAGUGGUAUUCAGAGCUUCAUUCAUGAUCCUGCAGUGAGAUAAGUGUUUCCUUGCUUUAUUCCAUACUGUCAUCACGUUUCUGAAAUGUCUUAUUCUGUUUUCUGAAGUUCACUUCUGUUUCAGCAUCUUUGAUGUGUUUUAGGAUUCUGUUUUUGAGUUUUCUUGAUACCAGCGUGUUUGCUUGAGUCUNUUAUCAUUUUAAUUCGGUUUCUCUUUGGUUUUUUUGAGUCAUUUUAUCAUUUGAGCAUCAUUUCCAGUUUGUCUUAGUCAUGUUUGGUUAAUUUUGUUGUUUUUGUCAUCAAAUCUGGUUUUCAACCAAGUUUUACGGAUCCAAAAAGUGUGUUGAACUUGGCUACACCAAUUAAGAGCAAUGAACUACUANGAGAUGAGCUCAGGUGUUUAAAAACUGGCCAAACAAUGCAGAUCUGUCAAGGUUUGAGUUGCUGUUUUUAGAAAAAAAAAUUUGCUACAGCAUCACUGUUCAUAUGGUAAAUUCCGUGUUACUGUUUGGAUUGAAUAGCAGCUGUUUGUUGCAAUGCUUGAGUCAAUUGGAACAUGAAUUUGUGUUGAUUUCCAGUGGCUUUUAGUGUGGAAUUGCCAAUUUGCAAGGAUCCAAAAGGCAGUAAACCGAUCUGCCAAAUUUCUUUGAAAAAUUCUGCAUAAUUGAGUNAAGAUUGGUAUUAGAUCAUUGCCAAUCCUCUUCAACAUGAUUUUGCUGUUUUGAGCAAGUUUUAAAUACUUUUUUCAAACUAUUUGUGGUGUUUCCAGUCCAGAUAUAAAUCCAUUCUGCAAUUUGACCAUUUGAGUUGUGAAAUUGAGUUGAAAAUGGAACUGCACUAGUCCAAUUUCGUUGCACAUUGAUUCUGUUUAUCAAAUCUGUUUCAGCAAGUCUUAAUUCACUAUUGAAACAUGUUUGAAUCAUUGGAAUGAGUAUCUAGUCAGUUCUGUGCAUUUGGCAUAUAGCACUAGUCAUUUCUGCUCAAAAAAANUUGUUGUGGCCGAGAGCUAUGCAGUGUUUUUCCAAGUGGCAUUGAUUUUCUGUUUGAUUCAAAAGUAUGGAUGUAGCAAAAGCCUUUGGUCCAUAAAACAUCAAAAGAACAAUUCAAAAGAGUUAUUAAAGCAUUAAAAGGCAGAAUAGGACCAGUGCAUCUCAAAUUCGAAAUCUGAUUCUGCANAUUGCAUUUUGCUGUCAAAUUUAUGCAAGCUUAGUGAGACAUUUCAUCAAACAGUUUGGUCCAACUUCAUUGCAUAGCUUAUUUGUGCCUAAUUUUGAUUUCUGGUCUUUUCUUNUGUUUUAAAUCUGAUCUAGAGCUAUUCAUAGGUUCCAUUUGAAGUGCCUCCGUGUUUGAUACCCUCUUAAUUGCUUGAUUUUGCGUGUUUGAACAUUCUGCACACCAACUGUUUGACAUAAAACCUGGUGUUGCUGUCUUUUGGCUGUGUUGUUGCUGGAAAUUGUGGUGGUAGUUUCUGUGAUUAAUUGGUUUGCUGGAUAGGUGAACUAUAGCUCAGAAGGUUUACCAUAAGUGGAAGCAUCAAAGAAGGUUCAAAUUUGGAGAAACAAAUGCAAGAAGAUGGCUCUUUGGGAAGGAAAACGUGACUGAAAACAGCCAUCCAGCAGUUUGCAACAGUGCUGUUCUGCAGAAUUGUUCCAACUUGAGUGCACAUUCGCAGCUGAAAGUUUUGUGGUUGAAUCCAGUAGAUUCAAGUCCUUUGAGAG